GCAUACCUAUAACAUUUAAAGGGACAGUGGGAACCCUAUCAGGAAAAUGACUGAAUAUCACAUACUCACAUUCCGACGUCAGGUGACAUGGUCCUACCUAUCACAGCUUCCCAAUAGGUAUUCAAUCUCAUUUCUCCUAUUCUUCAUUGCCCUGUCAUGGCUUCCUCUUGUUUGGUUGUCUCAGAGCACAUUAUUAUAGUGUUAUUCAUUUCUUUUGAUCUUGGUUUGUUUCAAAC